rnacentral:rRNA from 1 species
AUUGAACGCUGGCGGCAUGCCUUACACAUGCAAGUCGAACGGCAGCGGACCUUCGGGUGCCGGCGAGUGGCGAACGGGUGAGUAAUAUAUCGGAACGUACCUUUCAGUGGGGGAUAACGUAGCGAAAGUUACGCUAAUACCGCAUAUUCUGUGAGCAGGAAAGCAGGGGAUCGCAAGACCUUGCGCUGAUUGAGCGGCCGAUAUCAGAUUAGCUAGUUGGUGAGGUAAAGGCUCACCAAGGCGACGAUCUGUAGCGGGUCUGAGAGGAUGAUCCGCCACACUGGAACUGAGACACGGUCCAGACCCCUACGGGAGGCAGCAGUGGGGAAUUUUGGACAAUGGGCGCAAGCCUGAUCCAGCCAUGCCGCGUGAGUGAAGAAGGCCUGG